CUGAGAAGUGAUAGAUUGGUCAAAGCUCCAAUUGAAAAAGGUAUGGACCCAAAUAGACCAGAAGAACUCAUGUCAAGCUCUAUUAAUUUCCCCAACAUCCCAAUUUCUUGGGGGAUGGUGCCAGAAAGGCCACUUUCCGCAAGAUAUAGAAUCUCUAGGUUCCUCAUAUUCACAAUUUCUUUGGGAAUGGAACCAUGGAAUUUAUUAGUUCCAAAUGACAAAUGGUCUAGGUCCAUGUGCCAAAUUCUCUGAGGAAUGCUGCCAAAAAGGUUAUUGGCUCUUACAUCUAGAUGAAUCAAAUUGUUCAACUUUUCUAUAGAGAUUGGGAUUGUCCCUGUGAGAUUGCAAUAAGGAAUAUGAAGCAUUUUGAGCUCCCUCAAUCUCCCUAUUUCUUGGGGAAGGGACUCACUGAAAGUAUUAUAACUCAUGUUCAACUUUUGAAGGCUAAUCAACUGUGUUAUUUCAGAAGGGAUAAUCCCAGAAAGUUUAUUAGCAGACAAAUCAAGAACAACUAGAUUGGACAGAACACCAAUUUGAGGAGGAAUACUUCCAUUUAGAAAGUUGGUACUCAGAUUUAGAGUGUGAAUAUUUGUAAGCAUUGAGAAAUUGAGAUUUUCAAGCGUACCUCUUAAUCCAAUAUUUUGAAGAUUUAUUUGGGAAACAUGAUUGGAGUGAUCACAUGCAAUUCCGAGCCAAUUGCAGGAAGUGUUGGCAAUCCAUGAAGAGAGAGAAGCUUGGCUCUGCUUGUCAAGGCUGGCUUUCCACUUUAGCAGAGCAUUUGCUUCUGAAGCAAUUCCAGAAGAAUUGAAAGCAUGAGAAUGGGUAAAUGGACAAAAGAACAUUAGAAGAAUCAACCAAAAAGGUUGGAACUUCAAGGACAGAAGUGUUGGAAAUAUGAACAUCAUACUGAAUUGUUCAUACAAUAUUGAAUUGCAACGUAAGAGAAAGCUUGCAUGUUGUUCAUACAAUGUGCCGCUACUUAUAAACUAAUAGUCAAUGGUAUAUGACUCAAGUCAACAUUAUUAACUGCAUGUUGGCGUGUUCCAUAAUUUAUCGUCUUUAAUACGGCUGUAAGUUUCUUCCACUUAAAUUUAUUAAAGGACUAAAAUAUUUUAAUUUGCAGAAAUUAAAAUGUAAAUUAUAUAUUUUGAGUGGUUAAAAAAUCACUUUUAAAUUUAACGGACUAAAAUAAAGUUUAAUGCAAAUUUUAGAGAAUAAAAACAUUUUAGCCGGAAAAAUCUUGAAAAUGUAUUUCCACAUUAUUAUUUUACGGACAUGAUCCAGAUGUUGUUAGCCACGUUAACCAUCUUAACAACUAAUGUAACGAUAUUAUAUUAUUGAUGAGGAACAAAAGGAUUAUUUUUAGAAUUUUAAAAUUAAAAGUAAUUUUUAAUUUAGGAAUCUAAAUCAGAAAAAAAAAAUCAAAUAUAAAGAUUAAAAGUAUUUAACGAUAAAGUUGUUAUUUAUGUUUGAAUUAAAUAUUUUUUUUUAAUUUUUAAAUUUUGAUCUGAAAUUAGAAUAUGUGUCUACUUAAAAUUUUGAUUCAUUUUUAUCCAAAAUUUUAAUAAUAAUAGAUAUAUUUAUUUUAAAUCAAUUAUUUUUGUGAGGAAAAUGAAAUAAAUCAUAAACUUAAGAUUGUUUUUUAAGGAAAGAAAAUAAUUAUUUAUAAUAGAAAAGUUGUGUAUAAAAUAAAAAAAUUAUUUCCAACAAAAUUAUAAAAUUUAUACUUUAUUAUUUUGGAGUAAAAAGAUGUAUCUCGCAUUUGUCUCCUGUAAUGUUUAUAAUUGAUUUGUGGAGUCUUGUUUCCACAAUUAUUAUUAGUGUAGGUUUUGUGAGAUAUAUUCUAAAACUUGCAGUUUUGUCAAUGAAAGAUUGACUUGAGUACUUUUUUUAUUGACAAGUGUUAAUUGUUCGUUUUAUUUAUUAAUGAAAAAUAAUUACACAUAUUUUUACGCUGUAAAAAUUCUUUAUCUUUAAUAAUACAUCGUCUAGUCUUUGAAAAAAUUUCUUAGUAACAAAUCUUUUGUAUUAAUCAAGAUUCUCUCUAAAAGAGAUUUUCAAUUUGUACUUAUUUAAAAAAAAUACUUUAUUAUUUUUAUGAUUUAAAACAUUUGUUUGUUUAACUUAAAAAAAGUUAAAUGGUUUUAGUCAAUUGAGUUAUUGUAAUACUAAGAACGGUGAACCAAAUUGUAAUUUUUUAAAGUUAGUGAAACUUUUUAAGAAUGUUUGUGCUUAAAAGAGAAUGGACUUUGUCAAUUGGAGUGAACUAAUAAUGACUAAGGAUGAGAUGUCUUUUUUAGAUAGUUUAAAUGAAUGCAUAUUUAUUAAAUAAGAGAGCAUAUUUUCUAUAAUAAAUGGACGUUAUAUGACUUGUUAGAUUCAUCGUUGCUAAUUCAAUAAGCGACAUAUUAGAAGACAUUAUAUUAUAUGUUAUGUGGAAACAUACUUUUUUGCAUGUGCUUAUGUGUUGUUGGCAUACAACAUGGAUAAUAUAUUUUCAUGUUAUUUUGCUUGUUGUAUGGUAUAUGUUAUUGAUGGGUCGGUCCAACUGAUGCGUUAGGCAGAAGUCAGUCAGAGCAAAUGGUUUUGUAUAUAAUGGGUCGAAAUUGGUCCAACAUCUGAUUUACUAGACCGUAACAAGACCAAUGCGUAAAUUAUGAUUAGGAAGCCAAUAAUUAUUAUUGGAUUAUAACUGGCAGUUAGCAAAAUAAUAUAUAGAAAAGAAGGUAAGACAAUUUUAUUAGAUCCGUAAUAGUUUAAGAUCCAACAGAUAGCCUAUAAAUAAAGGGUUAGACCAUUAAGAUACGCAAGUUUUACAAAAUUCUGAAUGUACAAUAUCUGUCAAAUAUCAUCAUUAUUCUCAAGCCUGUCAUUGACUUAAGCGUCGGAUCUGAAGUGCCUUUAACCGACACCUCUCCCCGAAAUUGGACUGAAAGAACUUGAAGUACGAGAUACAAAGGUCAGAUGGCAAAGACAAAAAUGUUAGUCUCUUAGUCCUACAUAAAAUAUAUACAGAAACACUUGUGUAUAGACUUCAUUAUACUUUCAUUAUUGAAAGAAAAAUGCUUACGGAGAAUAAAUCAAAUUUAGAAGAAAAAUAUAUUUGGAAAACUUUGUAAAAUACAAUAUCACUUUUUUUUAUUCACUGUUGCAACAUUAUGUGUCAAAACAAGAAUUUUUUGAUCAACUUAAAUUCGAGCAUGCUUUUCAAAGCCUUGUGUCUUACAAAGCCUUCGUAGUGACAAAAAUCCAAACAACUUUGCAUUGUAUAAUUUUUUCAGACUUGAAGAAUCCCUUAUCAAUCAUUUCAAACGAUGGUGUACACCCAAUUGCAUCAUCAAUUGUUAGAUAUGAUCUUUUAUAAAAUAAUUUAUUAUUAUUUUGAGUAUAUUUUGUAGCAUUAGUUGCCUAAAGGUUAACCUCAAUUAUAGCUUGUCAGUUAUAAUGGCAACCUAAAUUAUAGCUUGAAAUUUGUAUAUAUUCCUUAUCAAUGAAUAUGCAAAGCACAGAUGAUUUUCUUCAUGGUAUCAGAUUAGGUUACCUUCCUCAAAUCCUAAAAACCUAGUCGUCAUUGUUCUUCUCUUCUUCCAAGCAAUUUCUUUUCCCCCUUCCUUCUUCCCAUUGUUGCCCAUCAAUGGCCGAAAAUUCCAAAUUUCACUCUGCCCUAGCUGUCACCAACGUGAAGCAUCUUAUUCCAAUCACCUUGGACAUGGAAACCGGCCAAUAUCACUCAUGGGCAACCUUAUUUAAGGUCCAAGCUAAAGUUCAUUCAGUGCUUGAACAUAUCAUCCCUCCACCGGAUGAUGCAGCCAUAACAACAUAUCAAACAACCAAGGCCGUUGAUAUCCCACUAUGGAACCGUCUUGAUGUUGUUGUACUUCAAUGGAUUUAUGCGACUAUAUCUCCUUAUAUUCUCACAUCGAUCCUCGUGGCUGAUGAUUCGGCUGAAAGAGCCUGGCAGCGUGUCGCUGAUUUAUUCCAAGAUAACAAAAACUCUAGGGCGAUGUAUCUUGAAACUCAGUUCACAAACACGUGCUUGACUGAUUUCUCCUCAACCUUCGCCUAUUACAACCACCUCAAAUCUCUUGCUGACCAAUUAUCUAACGUCGGGGCUCCUAUUUCAGAUCAACGUUUUGUGCUCCGCUUGCUCGCUGGAUUAACUGAAGCCUAUGCUAGUUUUGUCACGGUUAUGCAACAGAAAGAUGAAUUGCCCAGUUUUGCUACAACAUGUUCUUGUUUAAAGAUGGAAGAGACCACGAUUAAGGAGUGAGCAACCCGUGAAUCUGGUUCCACUGCCCUCUUAACCGUGGAUGAAGGCUUCUUUUCACAGCCGCAACACCAAAACAACAACAUCACUUAAUCACAGGGUCGUAAUAAUACCAAUCGAGGCAAGAAAAACAACCGAGGUAGAAGAUAUGUAUCUUGUUCUAUGUUUGAUUAUGUUGAUAAAAUCAGUAUGUAUGUAUGUAUCUUGUUAUUAUGAUUGUUUUAUCGGUAGCUUACCCCAUACAUGUUUGUGUUUGUGUGUUAGUGAAUGAAAUUAUCGGUGAUGAUCGUAUAAUUUGUUACACAUGAGAAAAUAAUAUUACAGAUGUUCCAAAGGCGUGAUUGACUAGAGAAAGGAUGCAAAAUAACCUUGGGAUUCAUUUAAAGCUAUUUUGUUUUACAAGUUAAGACAAAUUGGAGUAUUUCCUUUGUUAUUUUAUUACUCGAAAUAAUGUAAUUGGAUAAGGUUUUCUUUAAGUACGUUUUUGUGUAAUGAUAAAGUUUUGAUAUUUACCAAGCUUUUGUUAAACUGCGGCAUCCCAAAAAUUGGGGUGUUACACUUCCUACACCUCCAACUCCCUAAAAUGUCCCUAGUAAAUGAGGUUUGUAAGUAGUAAUUGUUGCUUACCGAAUUUGAACUUCCAACCACUACUUCAUUCACCGUCAUCCCUUUUUUCCUCCUUAUAUCCUCUUUCUUCAUUGUCAUUUAUUUUGUUUUCUUUCUUGUUGUGGUCCAUUAUUGUUUCAAUUGUUUUAGUGUGGCUUUUCUUUGUGGUGCAUUUGUCAUGGUCCAUUUUAGGUGGGGUGUUUGUGGUUUGUGUUCCUGGUGUUGGUGUGUCUAGUUCAUUUUGUCGGGAAGAAAUAGUCAUAUGCUGAUAUAUCUUCGUCUUCAUGCAAGCUUUCACUGCCUUCAAAAGCUUUCUCUGUGUGAAAAGCAAAUGCAUGAAACCUAUACUCCAAUUCGCAGGGUUCAAUGGAUUUCGAAAUCCCAUGAGACCUCAAAGAAUUUUGAAAUUUGUCAAUGCCUUCAAUGGAUUCCUCGACGAAUUUCGAAGGCCUCGAUGGAUUUUAAAAUCCAUUAAAGAAUAUUUCUACUAUUAGUUAUAAUUUUAAGUAUUUCCAAAUUAUUACAAAUUUUUUAUUUAUUAUUAAUUUGUUAUACGGUUUUUUUUAAUUUCCUUUAAAUGUUUUAUUAUUUUAAAUGUGUGAAUAAUUUGUUACAUAGUUUUUAAUAGUUUUAUUUUGAAGUUUCAUUAUUUAAAAUUUUUAAAAAAUUUGUUAGAGGGGUGAAUAUUAUGUUACAGGUGAUUAUACUAUAAACGAAACAAUACACUUAUGAUAUGGAUUUUCAAGUAAAUUCUAAAUUUAUAUAAAAUUUUAAUAAUAUACUUAUAAUAUACAGAAAGUUUGUUUUGAUAAAGUAAAAUGGAUUCCAAAUUGAUCAGGUUACCUAUGGAAGUAGGGAUUGGUCCAAAGAGGUUCUUUUGAUAAAGAAAAAUGGAUUUCAAAUUGACCAGGUUACUUGGAAGUAGCGCUUGGUCCAGAGAGGUUGUUUUGAUAAAGAAAAAUGAAUUCCAAAUUGACCAGGUUACUUGUGGAAGUAGGGAUUGGUUUGAAGAUGAUGUUUUGAUAAAGAAAAAUGGAUUCCAAAUUGACCAAGUUACCUAUGAAAAUAGGGAUUGGUACAGAGAGGUUGUUUUGAUAAAGAAAAAAGGAUUUCAAAUUGACCAGGUUACCAAUUGAAUUACGGAUUGGUCUAGAGAGGUUGUUUUGAUUAAGAAAAAUGGAUUUUAAAUUGACCAGGUUACCUAUGGAAGUAGGGAUUGGUUUAGAGAGAUUGUUUUGAUGAAGAUAAAUGGAUUCCAAAUUAACCAAGUUACCUAUGAAUGUGUGGACUGGUCGAGAGAGGUUGUUUUGAUAAAGAAAAAUGGAUUCCAAAUUGAUCAGGUUAUCUAUGGAAGUAGAGAUGUGUCUAGAGAGGUUGUUUUGAUAAAGAAAAAUUGUUUCCAAAUUGAGCAGAUUACCUAUGAUAAUAGGGAUUUGUCCAAAGAAGGUUGUUUUGAUUAAGAAAAAUGAAUUUCAAAUUGACCAAGUUACCUAUGGAAGUAGGGUUGGGUCUAAAGAGGUUGUUUUGAUGAAGAUAAAUAGACUCUAAGUUGAUCAGGUUACUUAUGGAAGUAUGGAUUGGUCCAAAAAGAUUGUUUUUAUAAAGAAAAAUGGAUUCCAAAUUCAUCAGAUUAGUUAUGAAAAUAGAUAUUGGUCCAAAAAGGUUGUUUUGAUGAAAUAAAAUGACUUCCAAAUUAAUCAAAUUACCUAUGGGAGCAAAUUAGAUUUGCCAAUCGACGCAGUGAGGUUCCUGAGUUAUGCUUUGAAGUGUACUCUAAUCUCUUCAAAUUUCAAAAACCUCCAAAAAGUACCGAUGAGAGUUUGAAAACAAAAUAAUGUCAGCGACUUAGAUGAAAGAGAAACAGAAAAAGGAAAGAAAGAGAACACGUUUUUGUCGAAUUAUUGUGCAUAGAAGGAAGUCUUUUGUUUUCCUAUUAGUACCCCAUAAUUUCCAACUACACUCCUUUAUUUUUUUAAAAUAUUUCACUCUUAAAAGGUGAUUUUUGUAUUACUUAUUUUAAAAUAUUUGGAAACAAGUUGUUUAGAAUUUAUGGAUUUCAGAACCGAGUCUUAAAAACAGGUUUAAAUGCAUUUUAGAAGUUUUUCAAAACAAAUGUUUUUGGAAUAUAUCAUAAGUUUUUCGGAAAAAAGUUUUCUAAAACAAACUUUUUAAAACAUAUAAGAUGGAUGCAUUCUAGAAUAGGAUUUUCAAAACAAAAUUUCUAAAAUAAGAUUUGUAGAAUAAGAUUUCUACAAGAUUUCCAAAACAUAUAUGAUAUCUUCUAUGAUGAGUUUUUAGAUAAUUUUCCUACCAAAUCGAUCAUUUUAUCUCUCUUUAUUUUUUUCUCUAAAGAAUGUAGUGGUUAUGAAGUACAGAUAGCAAUUGCGACCACAAGAAUGAGAGGAUAGUUUAAUCCUUUUGCUUUUAGUAUAAGAAUGCAUGUAAUAAUCAUGGGAUGCAAAAAGAAAAGACCACGAAACCCACUAAAAGCUCAACUGAUGACCAUAAAAUAGUGGGUGUUCCUCCCUCCAAGUGGGUCUUGCACCUCUCCACUAUUUUAAUUUAUUUCAAAAAUAUUCUAUACUUUUCCACUAUUUUCUUUUAUUCCAAAAAUACCCUCCACCUCUCCACUAUUCUUAACAACUUUUCUCUUUCUCUCUCUGUAUUAAUGGAGAAUUUAUAUGGCUUAUUAAUGGAACAUUUACAUGACUCAAAUUUGAACUUGUGAUAUAUUUUCUUAAAUAAGUUUGAUUCAAUCUUAUUUUAGUUGUUGAAUAUAUUUUUUCUUUUCAAAUUACUUAGAAAAUGGUAAAAUUUUGUUCUAAAUUUCUAGAAAAAUAUUUAUAUAUGUGUGUGUUUUUUUUACAUAUAAUAUCUAUAAUUUUUAACAUUUUAUUAUGUUUUAAUUCACCAACAUGUUUGACUCAAAUAACUUGAAUAAAAUAUUUCAUUUAUUAGAUAAAUAAUAUAAAAUGUUAUUAAAUACUUAAAAUAUAAAAAAAAGUUAUUUGUUAAAGAUUUAGAAUUUAUUUAGUUCUUUCGUCAUUAUAAAGUUAGUGUAUAAUAAUAAUAAUAUAUCAUUAUUUACUAUUAAUAUUAUGUUUAUUAUUUUGUAUUUGCAUCUAACUUUUAAUUUUAUAAAAUGGAAAUGGUAGAAGUACUAAUAUUGAAGUUUCCUCUGAAUUUUAUAUUUUGUAGUAUAUCUCAAAUUCAAAUCUGAAUCAUGUAAAUGCUCCAUUAAUGCAGAGAGAGAAAGAGAAAAAUUGUUAAGGAUAGUGGGAGGUGUAGGGUAUUUUUGGAAUAAAAAAAAAUAGUGGAGAGGUGUAAAAUAUUUUUGAAAUAAAUGAAAAUAGUGAGAAGAUGCAGGACAAGAUGGAGGGAGCAACACCCUAAAAUAGUUUACAAAUUGAAAUUGGACAAUUUCUUCCAUGUGCACCCCAAGGAGAUAGUUGAAGAGAGUUUCUCUCUACACCUCAAAACGUUUCUUCCUACACCUCCAUCACUUCAUUCAUUCAGUGUCAUCCCCUUCUUCCUCCUUAUAUUCUCUAUUUCUUCGUUGUCAUUUAUUUUAUUUUCUUUCUUGUUUUGGUCCAUUGUUGUUUCAAUUGUUUUAUUCGAGUUUUUCUUUGUGGUCCAUUUCAAGUGGGAUGUUUGUGGUUGGUGUUCUUGAUGCAAGCUUACUUUGCCUUCAAAACCUUUCUCUACGUAAAAAACAAUGCAUGAAAGCUGGCAUUUUUUGUCAAUGAAAAAUUGACUACAAGUCAAUGGAGACGACUCAUUCAAAACUUUAUGAUGGAAUAGUAAAAUAUAUUGAUUUAUAUAAUAUAGGGUUAAAUAUGUUUUAGUCCCUAUACUUUGAGGCGAUUUUGGUUUUAGUCCCUCUUUCAAACUAAGGUACAAUUUAGUCCUUCAACUUUAGAAAACUCUGGUUUUAGUCCUUUUUACCAAAUUUUUUUAACUUUAUUUGUUGUUUCAAGCACGUUUCAUAUAACAUUUGGAUUGUUUACACUGUUUGACACAUUUUUGUUUCAAUGUUAACUGAGAAACGCGUUUGAAACAAUAAAUAAAGUUAAAAAAAUUCGGUAAAAAGGACUAAAACCAGAGUUUUCUAAAGUUGAAGGACUAAAUUGUACCUUAAUUUGAAAGAGGACUAAAACCAAAAUCAUCCCAAAAUAUAGGGACUAAAAACAUAUUUAACCCUACAAUAUAAUUCAACGUGUAUAACAAUGUUUAAUAUAAAACUUACAGUCAACAUAAAUUAUUACAAAAAUAUGAUUAUCAUUCCAAUACAUGCUUAUAAGAAGAUUAGUUGAAUAAUAUUUUUAUUUUUAAAAUCUUAUAUUUUAAUAAUUUUAAGAAAAAAUAACUAUAUAAAUAAGAAAGAGCUUUGUAUAUUAUUGUAUUUUUUUUCCAUUUUUAUAAUUUGAAAGUUUAAAAAUGAAUUUGGAAAUUCCUUAUGAUACUACAUGUGAUUUCAAUAAAAUAGUAAUUGUAUCAUAUAAUUUGUAUCUUACCGUUAUCUGAUAUGUGUCAAUAUAUGUAAUAAAAGUUUGAUACGUUGCUCUUAUCAUAAUUUGAUGCUUUAAACGAGUCGUUUUAAGGGUUUGACAAGCUUUUAUUUAUUGUGUGAUUGAAUUUAUAGGUAAUAAAGUCAUAUUCAUAAAAUGAAAAUUAAGUUAAGCGAAGAAUUGAUGUAUGGAUUUUAUUUUAUAUGUUUUCAAACGUGUUUUUAACUAAUAUUUAAAUAAAAAUGUAUCAAACUGAAUAAAUAAUUCAAAUUUUAUUAUGAAAUAUAUUUGAAAUGUAAAAUAAACUUAACAAAAUUUAAUUAAAAUAAGGAUUAAAUUCAUGUAUUUCUAAAAUUGAGUAACUAAAUUGAAUUAAAGUUUCGAAUAGAAAUUAAUUCUAAUUUUCACUAAACGACCAAAAACAUAUUUAAUCUUAUAUUUUUUGCAUUAUUCAUCAUUUGUAUUUUAGGAUCAUUUUAGUGUUGUUGAAAGUGAUAUUUCCUAUUUUUCCCAUUGUUUUGCAUUAAAGAUGAGCGGAAUCACAUAAGGCAUGAAUACUAUUUUCAAUUCAAAACCUUAAGACAGUGUAUUAAUGGGUCUUCACUUUUAUAAGAUAUUCCACUUUCUCAUUUCUACUCAAUAUAAGACACAUACUUAGAUUCCCGGUAUAAUUUCUAUGUGACUAGGAGGUGUAAUGGUAUAUAUAUUCUGUUAUUCGUGUUAUGAUAUAUAUAUUACAUCCAAUAACUAGAUUGGUUUUUAAGUGAUAGAUAAAAGUUUAGCUGAAAAGUUCCAUUUAAGUCCUUAUUUUUUUGCAAUUCUAGUUUCUUUCAAACAAAAUGAAACAAAAACGUUUAAGACAAAGCUAGUUAUAGCACAUACUAUAUUAAAUAGUAAACUAUAAGUCUAACUGAAGAGGUUUUAAAUAUUAUAAAUUUACUUUUGUCUUUAAUCAAUUUAGAAUCUCUAACAUACCAUUUCAAGUUGAGACAUGUGAACGAUGAUUUAGUUUUCUCCUAUUGGUAAGUCAAAGUAUGGGUGUAACAAAAAUUACUGUUAAAAAGAAAAGCAACAUGUUAAAAAGGCCCGAGAAGAUGUUGGUGUUUUCUUAGACACUUUCGCUCCUGGUGCCAAACUGUGUUGGAGAUCCCAGACAACUUUGCAUUGUACUAUGUCUCAAACAUACAGAAUCCCAUAUCAAUUUUCCAUCGAUGUUGUACACCCGAUUUUGUCAUCUUGAUGUAUAAACUUGUUGAAGUGUAUAAAGAGGUUGUCAUUUCAUCCUCAAUUAUAAUUGCUAUUGGAUAUAUUUGAAUUGGAUACCAAAUAAACAUAUUAAUAACAAUAUUUAAUUGUGAUUACAACAAAAGAAAAAAAAUACAGUACAAAAUAGAAAAUAGCAAGUAAAAUUGAAUGUUGUUUAAUAACUUUACUUUUUACUUACGCACGUUGAAAAGAAUAAAAAUGUAUAUUGCUUCUCUUGCCAACUGAAUUCUUUUAUUAAAUUAAAGAGACUAUUAAAUAACAUUCACGUAACAGAAUACAUAAAAGAAGUGGUAACAGCUAAAAAAUAAAGGUGCCUAAAAAUAAGGCAUUAUUAAGUAACAAAAUCAAAAUAAGUGCCUACAAAUAAGGUAUUAUUAUGCAGAAUAAAAUAUCUUUUCAUUCCCUCCCUUAAACUGACUUCCAGCGUAUCAAUUUAUUUCAGAUAAAUCAACCAUUCCCAUCUUCAUCCUGAGUUUCUGAAAAGCUUCGAGUUUUAAAGCCUUGGUCAUUAUAUCUGCAACCUGUUCGUUAGUUCCACAGUGCAUCAACUCAAUUUCUCCAUCUUGCACAAGAUCUCUUAAAAAAUGAAAACGCACUCUAAUAUGCUUGCUCCUGCCAUGCAUUACUGGAUUUUUUGAAAGUUUAAUGGUUGAACUAUUGUCACACAUAAUAAUAGUGCUAGUGUCCUGAAUAUAAGUUAAGUUUCCCAACACUCUUUUCAUCCACAUUGCUUGAUAGUGGCAACAACUGCUACAAAUUCUGCCUCUGUACUUGAGAGAGUAACAAUUGGUUGUUUCUUGGACAUCCAUGUUACUGCACCUGAACUUAGCAAAAAUACAUAACCAGAAGUGCUUUUAGAAUCAUCCUCAUCUCCUGCAUAAUAAGAAUCUGUGAAAGCAAGCAUAUUUUCUUCUUUAACAGCUUCCUCAAAUAAAAUUGGAUCUUCACUUGUGACAUCUUGUACUAUAUAGGCUGCUAUCUCAGCUUCAUCUUCUUCACUUAAUCCUUCUCCAAUAACAAAUUCUUCCAUGCAACUUGGUUGUCUUCUUUCUCUCCCUUGAAUUACGUGUUCCUGUGAAUUCACUAUUGCUUCAUUUUGAAUGACACUUUCCUCAUUAUGCUCAUUAUGCUCAUUAUUCGCACCAUCACUAUCAACUUCAAUAUUUUCUUCAAAUUCAUCAAUAUGUAACUUAUCAUCAUCACCCCAUAACAACUCAGUUUCUAUUUGCUCUUUAUAAUUUGGACCCUAAUCCCAACUCUUCUCUUCUUCAAAUAUAACGUCUUUACUAAUAACAAUCCUCUUUGUCUUAGGAUUAAAUAGACGAUAACCCUUNGACUNUUCACUAACNCCCAAUAAAAUACAAGGAAAACUUUUAUCAUCAAGCUUACCUCUUUUUGCCUCUGGUAUGUGCACAUGAGCCAGGCAUCCCCAAACUCGAAGAUGGUUUAUUGAAGGUUUGAUUCCACUCCAAGCUUCUUGUGGAGUUAUGUUCCUCACAGCAUGCGUUGGACAUCGAUUCAAUAAAUAAAAGGUCCAGUUUACAGCUUCAGGCCAAAAUAACUCAGGAACCUUUUUGGCAGAGAGCAAACAACGUACCAUAUUCAUAAUAGUUCUGUUUUUGCGCUCUGCAACUCCGUUUUGAUGCGGUGUAUAAGUUGUGGUAAGUUGCCUUUUUAUUCCAUGUUCUUCACAAAAUAGCUUGAAUUGAAGAGAGUUAAACUCCCCUCCUCUAUCCGUUCGUAAGCAUUUGAUGGAUGCUUCAACUUUCUUUUCCAUCAUUUUCUUGUAGGAUUUGAAACACUCCAAAGCUUCAGAUUUUUCAGAGAGCAAAUACACCCAACCUUUACGACUAUAAUCAUAAGCUUAAAAAAUACCUUUUUCCACUAUUUGAAAUGGGUUCUAUUAGACCGCAAAUAUCUGCAUGUAUGAGUUCCAAGACCUUGCUAGCGUGCCAUUUACUUGUCUUAGGAAUUGGAUUACGAUGUUGUUUUCCAGCGAAGCAAUCAACACACGUGAUACUAGAGUCACUGGGUUCAGGCAGUCCAUGAACCAUUUGUCGUGUUUGUAGUGUCUUCAAGCCUUUGUAGUUUAUGUGGCCAAACCUUUGAUGCCAAAGGUAAGUGAGGUCAGAGGAGGUGUGUAGACAUUCUUCAAUGGAUAGGGUGAUAGAUCUUUCAUUGACGAAAAUGAACAUACGGUUGCUGCUCAUUUUUGUAUAUGCGAUCAAACCUUUAGACGGAUGAUAGAUGUUGCAUGUUCCUUUUUGUAUAAGAAUAGCAAGACCCUUUUCUUGUAAUUGUCCCAUGCUUAACAAAUUUUUUUGAAGCUCUGGGACAUAGUACACAUCUAAGGAAGGUUGUGCCAUUAAACGUCAAUCUGACACUUCCUAUUCCAAGGACAAUCAUCUAAGAAUUGUUUCCACAUUUGACAAAAUGUUGAUCUCCAUAAGCCAAAUCUACAAACAUACCUUUAUAACCACACAUAUGAUUAGAACACCCUGAAUCCAAAAACCAUGCGUCACUCCUUUUGGAUUCCUUUUCUACAGUAGCCAUCAGAAGAAGUUCUUCUGUUUCAUCUAACUCUGCAUAAUUUGCUUCUCCUUUGUUCCAUUGAGGACAUUCAUACUGAAAAUGUCCCAAGUGGUGACACUUGAAGCAUUCCACAGUGGCUUUUGAAGAAAAUUGUCUCCUUCUUCCCCGUCCACGACCACGAUAUGUUCUUCUUCCUCUACCUCUACCGCGGCUACUUUCUGAUGUGAGUACUUGUUCAUUAUCUUGGUAGACCUUUAUAAACUUUUGCUCAUGGACUACCAAGCAGCUUUGAAGUUCGUCCAUAGACAUUUUCUCUGUGUCCUUCGACUCUUCGAUCGAAACCACGAUAUAGGUGAAACGUGGUGUCAACGUUUGAAGUAUUUUUUCAACCACCUUUGAAUCGGACAUAAGUUCUCCAUUGCUUCUCGUUUUGUUUGCCACUGCCAUGACUCUAGCAAAAUAUUUUGUGAUGGUUUCUAAUUCUGUCAUUUCAAGCACCUCAAACUCCCUUCUCAAUGCAUUGAGCAUUGAUUUCUUCACACGAUCAUUUCUUCCAUAUUUUCUUUUCAAGGAAUCCCAAACAAUCUGAGAUGUGUUCCUAUCCAGAAUUUGUUCGAAAAUUGAUCGAUCAAUGGCCCUGAAAAGGUAAUGUUUGACUUUGUGAUCUUCAAUUUUGGAUUUCUCCAAUUGCUCUGAUUCUUCACAAGACAGAACAGUACCCUCCAUAGGCUCUUCAACACCAUUCUAAAUCAGAUUCCAGAGACCCUUGGCACAUAAAAAAUUCUCCAUCAGUUCACUCCAAUGAUCAUAAUGUUGACCGUCAAAGUAAGGAAUUUUUGAGGAGAAUUUAUCAUUAUUCAUCUUCGUAAGCUGCAGCUUCUGUAUCAGGCCCACUAGGAGCUCUGAUACCAGUUUGAAAAGAAUAAAAAUGUAUAUUGCUUCUCUUUCCAACUGAGUUCUUUUAUUAAAUUAAAGAGACUAUUAAAUAGCACUCACGUAACAUAAUACAUGAAAGAAGUGGUAAUAGCUAAAAAAUAAAUGUGCCUAAAAAUAAGGCAUUAUUAAGUAACAGAAUCAAAAUAAGUGCCUACAAAUCAGGCAUUAUUGUGCAGAAUAAAAUUUCUCUUCACACGUAAAUUGAGAUGUUGAGUCCAUCCACUUAAGAUGAGCUUUACACUACAAGCUCAUUGACAACCUCUUUCAUAGUAGGGCGAGAUCGUGGACUUUCAGUCAUGCAGGAAACUGCUAUCUUCGCAACUGAUGCCACCUCUUUAAGUAAACGUUUAGUUGGAGGAGGGAGACGCUGCUCCAACUUAUCCAUCAAUGUCAUAUGAUCAGCAGUGGAUGAAGAUGAUAAUAAGGAAGAUAUAAAAUCACCAGGAUGCUUUCCCAGAAGUAUUUCCAAUGCCAACACUCCAAAACUAUACACGUCACAUUUCUCAUUCACUUCCAUUGUGUAUGCAAGUUCUGUAACAAACUAAAGCUGAUAUCAUAUAAAAAAAAAGGGAAGGUAGUGACAAUGAUAAAAUAUAUAUAGAUAAUUGUAACCGUCAAAGAGAAACUUAAAAUAUGAGAUCCUCAACAAGUACAAGGAAAGAAAAUUGACCUGGAGCGGCAUAUCCGAAGGUUCCUACAAAUGAGGUCCAAUUGGAUGAAUUGGGAUUAAGAAACUUGGUUGUUCCGAAAUCUGAGACAUGUUCCACAUAUUCNAAAUCCAAAAGGACAUUUUUACUUGAUAUAUCACGAUGAAUAAUUGGUGGUGANCAAUCAUAAUGCAUGUANAAUAAAGNAUUUGNUANAUCUUUAAUAACAUUCACUCUCUUAUUCCAAUCAAANGCAAUUGCUUGUUCAUCAUCCUUCAAAAUAUUCUGGACAUUGCCCUUCUCCAAGAAUUCACAAACCAUAAAUGACCGUUGGGAAUGUGAACAAAACCCAUAUAAGGUUACAAUGUUACGAUGCCGAAUUUCUGUCAGAGCUUGGAUCUCACUUGUGAACGCUUUCACAUUGAGCUUUUCUUCAUUUGGAACUGAAUGCAAUUUCUUUACAGCCACAACUUGACCUGAGGGUAACAUUGCUUUGUAAACUUGUCCUUGUCCUCCAACUCCAAUGAGAUGCUUAUCGUCAAAAUUUUCAGUGGCUUCAACAAUAUUUUCAAAUACAAUUUUGCCAUCAAAACUCCAUAUUGCAAAUGUGUUUAGAGUUUGUAAAUUGAUAGGUUGCUCUUCCAUUUUCAUUGAAGUUUUACAUAAAUAAUUCAAGACUCCGAAAAGAAACAAUGCCAGCAUUACAGUGCCCGAAGUAAGGGGUAGAACCAUUGUUAUGACUUUCUUUGUCAUAUGCUUAUGUGAUUUCCCACUUAGUGUUAGGCAAGGCUUUAAGCCACUAACAUUUCCACACAAGCCUUUAUUAUUUCUUACUGCGUCCAUUGUAGCAUUGCCAAUGGUCUGGAAUUAUUAGAUCCAAGACUCAAAAUUUGAAGAUUCUUCAUUGAUACAAUCUCUAUGGGAAUAUUUCCUAAAAGAUUAUUGUUGUUGAGUGAUAGACGAAACAACAAAACCAAUAAUUUAGAUAAAUCUUGUGGAAUGCUUCCUGUAAGAUGAUUUGAGGAUAACUGAAGUUCACGUAAUUCGGUUGCCUCGCUUAGUUCUGGUGGGAUAACACCUGAUAAGUUAUUGUUAGAGAUCUUGAGGCUUGUGAGGCUACGGAACUUCCCCCAAUUUGGUGAAAGAUGACCAUAAAAAUUGUUUUCACUCAAUUCGAUGUAAACCAAGUUUGGAAGUACACCAAAAGCAUAUAUUAUGUUUCCACUUAGUUGAUUUUCCUCAAGUCUCACUCGUACAAAACUAGAGCAAUUCUUCAAACUCUCUGGAAUAUGGCCAGUGAAAUGGUUAUUGCUAGCGGAAAAUUUUGCCAACAUUCCACCAACACAAAUGUUGUGAGGUAAAUGGCCGACAAAAUUAUUAUCAGCGAGCUGCAAAUUUUCCAAAGCAAUAAUCCUGUUCAUUUGUAUUGGAAUAUUGCCACUGAGAUAAUUUUCAAUCAAAUUCAAUUUGUGAAGCUUUGACAUAUUUCCAAUAGUGGAAGGAAUGUAUCCAGAAAGUUUGUUUUGAUAAAGUAAAACGGAUUCCAAAUUGACCAGGUUACCUAUGGAAGUAGGGAUUGGUCCAAAGAGAUUAUUGCCCAGCAACUGGAUUGUUAGAAGGGAAUGCAAAUUUCCUAUUUCAUCCGGGAUAAAGCCAGAUAAUUGGUUGUCAUAAAGGUAAAGAUAACUUAGAUUGCUCAAGUUUCCAAUUGUGGAAGGGAUUUUACCAGAGAGAAUAUUCUCAAACCAAACAAGUUCACUGAGUUUUCUCAAAAAUCCAAUUUCAGGAGGAAUAAAACCUGACAAUUGGUUUCCUUCAAGGAAAAGUUUAUUUAGGUUGCUCAAAUAUCCAAUUUCACGAGGAAUAGAGUCAGAGAGAUUAUUACUUUGAAGAUAUAGCCUCUUGAGGUUGACCAACUUACCAAUUUCACUAGAAAUAUGACCAGAAAGUUUAUUGUCAUGUAAGCUGAGAAGUGAUAGAUUGGUCAAAGCUCCAAUUGAAAUAGGUAUGGACCCAAAAAGAUCAGAAGAACUCAUGUCGAGCUCUAUUAAUUUCCCCAACAUCCCAAUUUCUUGGGGGAUGGUGCCUGUAACACCCCUUCUCGGAGUGUCACAGAUUUUUUUUUUUUAAAUACACGUUCACAUUUAAAACCACACAUUUAUUAAUAUUAUACAUUGAGAACAUCAGAGUUUUUCAAGAACAAUUAUUGGAUUACAGACCAAAUCAUAAAAGUAUAUUAAAAUUAAAAACCACAACGUUCCAUGAUUUAAAAUACAUAUUUAAAAAUCCCAAAGAGUGUUUCCCCAACGCAUCCUCGCACUAAACGUCUUCAGUUUUACCUGAAACAUCAUCUACUCCCGUAUAACGACACGAGUUAUACGAUCAUCGUAGACACACAAGUAGGGUGAGCUAACAGAAAAAUAUGAGUUACAGAUAAACCUACUUACAUACUUUGAAUAAUAUUAUUAAUGUAAACAUACUACCAUCACGUAUACUUCAGACACUACUCACUUCUCAUCUGACUCUAAUCACUUCUCAUUUCUCACGUAUCUAUGGAAUUUAUCUCGAUUUUUUUCGCAUUUGUUAAGUUUAUGCCACAACCAGUCCCUCAUAUGGACCGCGGAUAAGAGUCGUCCUACGCACACCACAUUGGACAUAUCUCCCUAAUUCUUCAAGGGCUUACGAGUAAAAACAUUGGUGAGUAACAUCCAUUCACCAAGCACAAUACUCAGCACAAGUCAGAAACUCUUGGCGAGAUAUUUGUACCCUCUAGAAAGAGGAAAAGUAACAGGACUCGAAUCCACUUAUCGCCUUACAUAGGCAAAAAGGAAAUCAUCAUUUUUAACUACCGAGAUAAAUAUAAAUCAUCCCAAUGAUACGAUAAGAUUAGAGAAUCAAAAAGGAUUAUCUAUUAGACUAAAAGAACUCAACAUCCAUUAACUUAAAUUAAAUCUAAAAUACAUUCAGAAUAACGUGUUGUCUACUUUGACCUUGGCUCAAUGUUUUACUCGUAAUUUUUCUCUACAGUAUUCCAACUGAAGAGAUUCUUGUUUUGUUGGAUUCUAAACUCAAGAAUCUUUUCUUAGACACCAGACUAGUAAAAUAUCCUUCAUUACAAUUUUAAUAUUUAAAAUAUUCAACACAAAAAGUAUUGGUAAGCUACCAAAAACAUAAUUUUCAUAUAAACGUUCUGGAAAACCAAGAAGUUGAAUCUGGCAAAGCCGGUUAGACAUCUUCUUAUCCUUCCAGAUAGAUGUAAUAGAAAAAGGAUAUACACUCAAUAAUUCAUACAAACAUCAUAAAAUCCAUUCAUCCCAAAAAAAAAAAUCAUACAAAUUAAAUAUAUCACAAAAUAAUUUAACUGCACAUAAUCUGUUUGAUAAGAAUUAGUUAAAAACACAACGAGUAGACUUCCAGGAAAGAGAGGUGUGUCACAAUGGACAACUUAAGUACCAGGUCUUUCCUUAGCCAAAGUGUUCCUCAAUGUGUUAUUAACAGAUUUCUUAUUCACAGAUUCAAAACAACAGCAUAUAAUAUUAUCACAGAAAUUCAAAUAGUUAUGCAACAAGCACAUAGGUUUUUCAUUAAUAGUAAUUGCACAAAAUUUCAAGACAUGAAUAGUUAUAAAAAAAUAUUUUAUAAAUAAAUAAAAAAACUUAGAAAGGUUAGCUCCCCUUACCUCUAUUUUAGACUCAAUUCCUUCCUCCGAAGUUGUUCCCCCCGAAAAUCUUCCAGAACCCCUACUCUUCUAAAAUUUUCUUCCUAACUCUUUCUUCUCAAGAUUUCUCACUUGAUUCUUCCUCUCUUUAUGCAGAAUGAGCUCUCCUCCCAUGGCUAUUUAUAGUCCAAAAAAUUUUACUAUUUAAAUUAUUUUAAUAUUAUUUUAUUAAUAUUUUAAUCACCACUUGCAAAUCUUAUCCUUUCUUAAUAAUGCAACUCAAUGAUUCUUAUCCUUUCAUUAUUUUAUUUUUAUUAUUAUUAUUAUUAUUUUUUUUUACUAUUCACGUUUUACUAUUCACUUUUUACUAUUCACUUUUUUUUUUUAACAAAACCUUCUAAAAUAGGUUCUCAAAAUUUUAAACCCCUUCUUAUGAAAUUAUUAUAAUUUUCUAUCAUAAUCUAAAUGUUUCUAACCUUAACUAUAUUUUCCAUUCAUUAAAAUUAUUAUUACUAAUAAUAAUGCUAAAAUUUACUAUUAUUUAUAAAUAUUUUACAUGGGUCUUACAGUGCCAGAAAGGCCGCUUUCCCCAAGAUAUAGGAUCUCCAGGUUUCUCAUAUUCACAAUUUCUUUGGGAAUGGAAACAUGGAAGUUAUUAAUUGUAAGUGAUAAAUGGUUUAGGUCAAUGUGCAAAUUCUCUGAGGAAUGCUGCCAAAAAGGUUGUUGCCUGCUACAUCUAGAUGAAUCAAAUUGUUCAACUUUUCUAUAGAGAUUGGGAUUGUCCCUGUGAGAUUGCAAAAAGGAACAUGAAGCAUUCUCAGCUCCCUUAAUCUCCCUAUUUCUUGGGGAAGGGACUCACUGAAAGUAUUAUAACUCAUGUUCAACUUCUGAAGGCUAAUCAACUGUGUUAUUUCAGAAGGGAUAAUCCCAGAGAGUUUAUUAGCAGACAAAUCAAGAACAACUAGAUUGGACAGAACUCCAAUUUAAGGAGGAAUACUUCCAAUCAGAAAGUUGUUAGUGAUCACAUGCAAUUCCGAGCCAAUUGCAAGAAGUGUUAGCAGUCCAUGAAAAGAGAGAAGCUUGACUCUGCUUGUCAAGGCUGGCUUUCCACUUCACCAGAGCAUUUGCUUCUGAAGCAAUUCCGGAAGAAUUGAAAGCAUGAGAAUGGGGAAUGCAGAAAACAACAUUAGAAGAAGCAACCAAAAGGGUUGGAACUUCAUCGACAGAAGCGUUGGAAAUAUGAACAUCAUACUGAAUUGUUCACACAGCUACUUAGGUUCGACACACACAUAGAUCUCCACACAUGAUAAGAUAUUGUCCGCUUUGGGCCAAGCCCUCACGGUUUUGCUUUUGGUGCCACUCCAAAAGGCAUCUUAUCAGCCUUCACGGGUUUGCUUUUGGUACCACUCCAAAAGGCCUCUUAUCAUUGGAGGAAUGUAUGUGUAUUUAAACCCUUGACCAGCCCUUCUUUUACUCGAUGUGGGACUUUGUUUGCAUUCCAACAUUUUUUUUUCCUCAAAUUGAGUCUUAUUAUUCAUUGAUAAUUGAAGGGCUUUAAAUAGCCAUGAUACUUACAAUAUCAUGGAAAUAAAAAUAAAAUCUGAAAAUAAAAUAUCAACUGACUUAAAAAUAAAAUCUCCUUAACCUAUCAUACAAUAAUAUUCUAUCUAAUAAACAGAAAAUCAUAACUACUCAUUCAUAUUUUAUCUCUAUCAAAUCAAACCAAAUAUUACUAGACUCAAAACUAAUAAAAUAAUAUUUAAACAAAAUUAUUAAUAAAACCCUAAAAUUUAAGUUUAUCUCAAGUUUAUCUCAACAAACUCCCCCAUAAACUUAAAUUCUUCCUUCCUUGCUUUCCAUGUGCAUCAUCCCACACCGGGUUUGUUUCUUCUCUCCAAGAUUUUCAGCUCUGGUUCUUCUUUGCUUUUACCUGGGUUGUUAGACGACCAUGCUUAACCUUUAAGUACACAAAUUUGGCCUCCACCUUGGUGAGUUCACAAAAAAAGUUCUCGUUCCCACACAUAUGAUUGCUUGCUCCAGUAUCUAGAUACCAUACUGAGUUGGUAGAAAUCUCAUCGGCCUUCAUCUCUUCUUCAUCUUCUUCCCUAGAUGUUUUCUCUUCCUUUUCAGGAGCUGUCUUCCUCAGUUCCUCAAGCUCAACCCUCUGUUUAUUCGUAAUUUCAUUAGCUUCAUCUAGAAGCCUCCUUAUUCGCCGAAUCUCUUCAUCUUUUCCUUUGAGUUCUUUCUCCAGGUUUUCCUUCUCCACAAUUGUUGCAUCCUUUACCGAGAUCACUUCAUCCAUUGUUGGGAUUGGGCUCUCCAUGUCCACUACAUCCAAGAUCUUUGCUAUCAACAAUUCUUCUGCAUCUUCUUCUGCAUAUUCAGUAACGAGAUUCGUCUCCCCCUUUGUCUUGGUCUCGCAAUACCUUGAAAUAUGAUCAAACUUGCCACAGUUGUAGCACCUUGUUGCCCAACACUCGUUUUCAUAGUGGUCGCACUUGCCACACCUAAAACACUCUGCCCUUGACCGAUCUCCUCGGUAUUUUCCUUGUCUUCGAUCAUGCCAAUUCUGUUGACCGGUUUGAUCUUCAUUGCCUCUACCACGUCCACCUCGUCCUCGGCCUCCUCGCCAUCUUCCACCAGGACCUCGGCUCUGAGUAAUCUGAGAUUUAUCAAAGUCCCACAUCGAGUAAAAGAAGGGCUGGUCAAGAGUUUAAAUACACAUAGAUACCUCCAAUGAUAAGAGGCCUUUUGGAGUGGUACCAAAAGCAAAUUCGUGAGGGCUUGGCCCAAAGCGGACAAUAUCUUAUCAUGUGUGGAGAUCUAUGUGUGUGUUAAACCUCCCCCAACAGUGGUAUCAGAGCCCAUGGUUCUGGUCUGGUGACCGAGCUCAAACGAGUACGUCCUCCCAUGAUCAGGUGAGUCAGGCAGGAGGCCAGUGGCCACCGGAUGAAUCAUGAGAGGUGGGGAGAGCAAGAGAUGCUCAUUGUGACCAUGGAUCAUGAGGGCUUGGCCCAAAGCGGGCAAUAUCUUAUCAUGUGUAGAUAUCUAUGUGUGUGUCAAACCUCUCCAACAAUUAUCUAUACAUUAUCUGUAUGUGUUCCAUAAUUUUUCGUCCUUAAUACGACUGUAAGUUUCUUGCACUUAAAUUUAUUAAAGUUAUUGUCUUAUCAUCAUUUAAUAACACAAAUUUGAAAGUGAAAAUAAAUCAUUUUCAAAUAAGAAGAUAUAAAAAACAACUUUCAAAUUUAGGGAUUAUAAAAAUAUUUUUAAAUUUGGAGGACUAAAAUAUUUUAAUUUGCAGAAAUUAAAAUGUAAAUUUUAUAUUUUGAGUGGUUAAAAAAUCACUUUUAAAUUUAACGGACUAAAAUAAAGUUUAAUACAAAUUUUAGAGAAUAAAAACAUUUUAGCCGGAAAAUUCUUGAAAAUGUAUUUCCACAUUAUUAUUUUACGGACAUGAUCCAGAUGUUGUUAGGCACGUUAACCAUCUUAACAACUAAUGUAACGAUAUUAUAUUAUUGAUGAGGAACAAAAGGAUUAUUUUUAGAAUUUUAAAAUUAAAAAUAAUUUUUAAUUUAGGAAUCUAAAUCAGAAAAAAAAAAUCAAAUUUAAAGAUUAAAAGUAUUUAUUUUUACAGUGCAUUAUUUUUCUUUCUUUGCAUUUAUUCAUCCAUUUUAAUCCUUCAUUAUCAGUGCAUCUAUUUUUACAGUCUAUGUUUUCAUUACAGUAUCUUGCAUUCAUUGAUUAGUUUUAGUAAAUACAUGCAUUAUUAGAUAGUUUUAUAUUUUAGAUUUCAGUUUUACAAUUUUCUCUCCACCUACUUUUUAGUAAAUAAGUAUUUAGGCUUAAUUCUACAGUUUCUAAACUUGAUAAGUACCAAGUCCACGGAUUGAUCCUUGGUUGACCCCUAUAUUACAUUAGUGGGGAAAUUUAAGGUUUGUUGACUUUUGUGCGACCAAAAGCCUUUCAACAACAACCAACUUAACAUAUGAGACUAAAUUGACACAAAUUGAAUAACAUGGGGACCCAAUCUAUAUAUUUUUAAAAGAGGGUACUAAACUGAAAAUUUCCUCUUAACAUGGGGACCAAUUAAGGAUUUAAGUCCAUAUAAUUAUUAACAAUAUUUAAUUAUGAUUAUAUCUCAUAGUAUCUCGCAGUUACAAGUUUAAAGUAACACAAAUUAACAUAUAAAAAUUCAACACAAAAAAGAAAAUAGCAAAUAAUAAAACCCACCCUCUUUAUAAACUUCAAUCUUUAGCUAUACACGUAUGUUGCAAUCUUGACUCCAUUCAUGGAAGAUGUGAGCUUUACAUUACAAGUUCAUUGGCAACCUCCUUCAUAUUAGGACGAGAUCGUGGACUUUCAGUCAAACAAGCAACUGCUAUCUUUGCAAUUGAUGUCACUUCUUUAACUGAACAUUUUGUUGGAGGAGGAAGACGCUGGUCCAACUUCUCCAUCAAUGUCAAGUGAUCAAGUGUUAAGGCCACACUUGUGGAUGAAGAUGAUAAAGAGGAAGAUAUAAAAUCAGCAGGAUGCUUUCCAAGAAGUAUUUCCCAUGCCAACACUCCAAAACUAUACACGUCACAUUUCUCAUUCACUUCCAUUGUGUAUGCAAGUUCUGUAACAAACUAAACCUUNNNNNNNNNNNNNNNNNNNNNNNNNNNNNNNNNNNNNNNNNNNNNNNNNNNNNNNNNNNNNNNNNNNNNNNNNNNNNNNNNNNNNNNNNNNNNNNNNNNNNNNNNNNNNNNNNNNNNNNNNNNNNNNNNNNNNNNNNNNNNNNNNNNNNNNNNNNNNNNNNNNNNNNNNNNNNNNNNNNNNNNNNNNNNNNNNNNNNNNNNNNNNNNNNNNNNNNNNNNNNNNNNNNNNNNNNNNNNNNNNNNNNNNNNNNNNNNNNNNNNNNNNNNNNNNNNNNNNNNNNNNNNNNNNNNNNNNNNNNNUCACGAUGAAUAAUUGGUGGUGAGCAAUCAUAAUGCAUGUACAAUAAAGCAUUUGCUACAUCUUUAAUAACAUUCACUCUCUUAUUCCAAUCAAAUGCAAUUGCUUCUUCAUCAUCCUUCAAAAUAUUCUGGACAUUGCCCUUCUCCAAGAAUUCACACACCAUAAAUGACCAUUGGUAAUGCGAACAAAACCCAUAUAACUUUACUAUGUUACGAUGGCGAAUUUCUGUCAGAGCUUGGAUCUCACUUCUGAAAGCUUUCACAUUGAGCUUUUCUUCAUUUGGAACUGAAUGCAGUUUCUUUACAGCCACAACUUGACCUGAGGGUAACAUUGCUUUGUAAACUUGUCCUUGCCCUCCAACUCCAAUGAGAUGCUUAUCGUCAAAAUUUUCAGUGGCUUCAACAAUAUUCUCAAAUACCAUUUUGCCAUCAAAACUCCAUAUAGCAAAUGUGUUUGAAGUUUGUAAAUUGGUAGCUUCCUCUUCCAUUUUCAUUGAAGUUUUACAUAAAUAAUACAAGACUCCAAUAACAAACAAUGCCAGCAUUAGAGUGCCCAAAGUAAGGGGUAGAACCAUUGUUAUGACUUUCUUUGUCAUAUGCUUAUGUGAUUUCCCACUUAGUGUUAGGCAAGGCUUUAAGCCACUAACAUUGCCACACAAGCCUUUAUUAUUUCUUACUGCGUCAAUUGUAGCAUUGCGAAAGACUGGAAUGUUUGGAAGUGGACCCUCAAAAUCAUUGUAAGAUAUAUCAAUAGAUGUCAAGCUCAUCAUUUCAUCAAAGAUAGAAAGAUCACCUGAGAGACUAUUGUGAGAGAGAUUCAAUGUUUCUAAUUUUUUUAACCCUCCAAGCACAUGUGUUAAUGUUCCCCUCAACAAAUUUUCGCUGAGAUCAAGAGUUGUAAGAGAUAUUAAUUUGCCAAGCUCUAAGGGAAUAUUUCCCUCAAAUUUGUUCUGACUCAAAUUCAUUUCCAAUAAACUGAGCAAAUUUCCAAGUUGGCCUGGAAUUAACCCAGACAAAUUAUUAGAUCCAAGCCUCAAAAUUUGAAGAUUCUUCAUUGAUGCAAUUUUUGAGGGAAUAUUUCCUGAAAGAUUAUUGUUGUUGAGUGAUAGACUAAACAACAAAACCAAUUUAGAUAAAUCUUGUGGAAUGCUUCCUGUAAGAUGAUUUGAGGAUAACUGAAGUUCACAUAAUUCGGUUGCCUCGCUUAGUUCUGGUGGGAUAACACCUGAUAAGUUAUUGUUUAAGAUCUUGAGGCUUGUGAGGCUACGAAACUUCCCCCAAUUUGGUGAAAGAUGACCAUAAAAAUUGUUUUCACUCAAUUCGAUGUAAACCAAGUUUGGAAGUACACCAAAAGCAUCUGUUAUGUUUCUAGUUAGUUGAUUUUCCUGAAGUCUCACUCGUAGAAGGCUAGAGCAAUUCUUCAAACUCUCUGGAAUAUGGCCAGUGAAAUGGUUAUUGCUAGCGGAAAAUUUUGCCAACUUUCCACCAACACAAAUGUUGUGAGGUAAAUGGCCAACAAAAUUAUUAUCAACCAGCUGCAAACUUUCCAAAGCAAUAAUCCUGUUCAUUUCUAUUGGAAUCUUGCCACUGAGAUUAUUGUCAAAUAAAAUGAAUUCGUGAAGCUUUGACAAAUUUCCAAUAGUGGAAGGAAUGGAUCCAGAAAGUUUGUUUUGAUAAAGUAAAACAGAUUCCAAAUUGACCAAGUUACCUAUGGAAGUAGGGAUUGGUCCUGAGAGAUUAUUGUCAAAUAAAAAUAAUUGACGAAGCUUCGACAAAUUUCCAAUAGUGGAAGGAAUGGAUCCAGAAAGUUUGUUUUGAGAAAGAGAAACGGAUUCCAAAUUGACCAGGUUACCUAUGAUAGUAGGAAUGGGUCCAGAGAGGUUGUUUUGAUCAAGUAAAAUUGAUUUCAAAUUGACCAGGUUACCUAUGGAAGUAGGGAUUAGUCCAAAGAGGUUGUUUUGAGAAAGAGAAAUGGAUUCCAAAUUGACCAGGUUACCUAUGGAAACAGGGAUUGGUCCAGAAAGAUUGUUUUGAUGAAGUAAAAUAAAUUCCAAAUUGACCAGGUUACCUAUGGAAGUGGGAAUUGGUCCAGAAAGAUUGUUUUGAUGAAGUAAAAUAGAUUCCAAAUUGACCAGGUUACCUAUGGAAGUAGGAAUUGGUCCAGAGAGAUUAUUGCCCAGCAACUGGAUUGUUAGAAGGGAAUGCAAAUUUCCUAUUUCAUAUGGGAUAAAGCCAGAUAAUUGGUUGUCAUAAAGGUAAAGAAAGUUUAGAUUGCUCAAGUUUCCAAUUGUGGAAGGGAUUUUACCAGAGAGAAAAUUCUGAGACAAAUCAAGUUCACCGAGUUUUCUCAAAAGUCCAAUUUCAGGAGGAAUAGAGCCUAAAAAUUGGUUUCCAUAAAGGUUAAGACUAGUUAGAUUGAUCAACUUACCAAUUUCACGAUGAAUGUGUCCAGAAAGAUUACAAUGGCCUAUGUCGAGAUAUACUAGUUUCCUCAGCAUGUAAAUUUCUUGGGGCAUGGUGCCAGAAAGGCCACUAUCCCCAAGAUAUAGAAACUCCAGGUUCCUCAUAUUCACAAUUUCUUUGGGAAUGGAACCAUGGAAUUUAUUAGUUCCAAAUGACAAAUACUUUAGGUCCAUGUGCCAAAUUCUCUGAGGAAUGCUGCCAGAAAGGUUGUUGGAUCCUAUAUCUAGAUGAAUCAAAUUGUUCAACUUUUCUAUAGAGAUUGGGAUUGUCCCUGUGAGAUUGCAAUAAGGAAC
rnacentral:lncRNA from 1 species